AGGAGGGUGGCAUGACUGAUAUUAAGUUGCUGCGACACAGAAGCUAACCCUUUACAUACUGAAGGAGAACACUGUAGAUGUAUUACCAAAUUUUUCCCUGCAGCCAGGAACAAGUGAUUCUGAUGCUCAAGUGGACUAUAGAGAUGGCUCUAAGAUGUCCCCUUUAGGAAUGCGUACUCGCAAGAAAAUCACAGGCGCCGACGAAAAUACACGAGAGGUGGUGAGAGGAAGAGGCAGGGGAAGGGUCGGCAGGCCUCGCCUGGCACAUAGACAGCUUCUAAUUGGAUGGACACAGCAGCCCCAUUAUGGAUGGACAGAGCAGCCCAGGAGGACACAGCAGUCCCUUGAUGGCCCGAGAGAGUACCCCUAGUUUGACAGAGAACCCAUGGAUGGACACAGCAGCCCUGUGUAGGACACAGCAGCCCCUUGAUGGAUGUGAUGCUUAUGGCGAUGAUGCUUAUGGCGAUGAGGAUAUGGGGAUAUCUGUAUGAAAAACACAUCUUGAAUAUCAGUGACUGUGGUCUCACAUCUUAUAGUAUGUUUAGGAGAACCAUUUUGUCCUGCAUUUAAUGGCAGUAAGGACCUUGUCUGCAAUCUCUCUGAUCUUUAUAGGAUCACACGUGGUCAGUGGUAUGAACUACUCUAUGUUGCAACUGAAGUGUCUUGUUGCCAGUGGUGAUUUCCCAUUAGGCGUGUGAGGCACAUGCCUAGGGGCGGCACUUGCUUUGGGGAGGGCACUUUGAUGCUUGUUUUGGUACUGUCAGUCCAAAAACUACCAGUAACUGCAAAAUAUUUUCACUGCAAUGUACCAUAUGCCAUCUUGAACGGAUUGUAAACAGGUAGGACAUGCACAUACUGCCCCGGUAAGCUGUCCUACUUAGUAAA